AUUGAACGCUGGCGGCAGGCUUAACACAUGCAAGUCGAACGAGUGGCGGACGGGUGAGUAAUGCUUGGGAAUCUAGCUUAUGGAGGGGUAUAACUAUGGGAAACUGUAGCUAAUACCGCGUACCAUAGGAUGAGCCCAAGUGGGAGUAGGUAGUUGGUGAGGUAAAGGCUCACCAAGCCGACGAUCUCUAGCUGGUCUGAGAGGAUGACCAGCAACAAUGGGACUGAGACACGGCCCAGACUCCUACGGGAGGCAGCAGUGGGGAAUAUUGCGAAAUGGGGGCAACCUGACGCAGCCAUGCCGCGUGAAUGAAGAAGGCCUUCGGGUUGUAAAGUUCUUUCGGUAGCGAGGCGUUAACUACAGAAGAAGCACCGGCUAACUCCGUGCCAGCCGCCGCGGUAAUAC
rnacentral:rRNA from 1 species